rnacentral:rRNA from 1 species
CUACGGGUGGCACCAGUGAGGAAUAUUGCACAAUGGGGGGAACCCUGAUGCAGCAACGCCGCGUGGAGGAUGACGCAUUUCGGUGUGUAAACUCCUUUUAUAUGUCAAGAAAAUGACGGUAGCAUAUGAAUAAGCACCGGCUAACUCCGUGCCAGCAGCCGCGGUAAUACGGAGGGUGCAAGCGUUACUCGGAAUCACUGGGCGUAAAGGACGCGUAGGCGGGUUGGAAAGUCAGGUGUGAAAUCCUACAGCUUAACUGUAGAACUGCACUUGAAACUUCUAAUCUAGAGUAUGGGAGGGGGAGAUGGAAUUAGUGGUGUAGGGGUAAAAUCCGUAGAUAUCUCUAGGAAUACCUAAAGCGAAGGCGAUCUCCUGGAACAUUACUGACGCUAAGGCGUGAAAGCGUGGGGAGCAAACAGGAUUAGAUACCCUAGUAGUC